UUAAGCGACUAAGCGUACACGGUGGAUGCCCUGGCAGUCAGAGGCGAUGAAGGACGUGCUAAUCUGCGAUAAGCGUCGGUAAGGUGAUAUGAACCGUUAUAACCGGCGAUUUCCGAAUGGGGAAACCCAGUGUGUUUCGACACACUAUCAUUAACUGAAUCCAUAGGUUAAUGAGGCGAACCGGGGGAACUGAAACAUCUAAGUACCCCGAGGAAAAGAAAUCAACCGAGAUUCCCCCAGUAGCGGCGAGCGAACGGGGAGGAGCCCAGAGCCUGAAUCAGUGUGUGUGUUAGUGGAAGCGUCUGGAAAGGCGCGCGAUACAGGGUGACAGCCCCGUACACAAAAAUGCACAUGCUGUGAGCUCGAUGAGUAGGGCGGGACACGUGGUAUCCUGUCUGAAUAUGGGGGGACCAUCCUCCAAGGCUAAAUACUCCUGACUGACCGAUAGUGAACCAGUACCGUGAGGGAAAGGCGAAAAGAACCCCGGCGAGGGGAGUGAAAAAGAACCUGAAACCGUGUACGUACAAGCAGUGGGAGCACGCUUAGGCGUGUGACUGCGUACCUUUUGUAUAAUGGGUCAGCGACUUAUAUUCUGUAGCAAGGUUAACCGAAUAGGGGAGCCGAAGGGAAACCGAGUCUUAACUGGGCGUUAAGUUGCAGGGUAUAGACCCGAAACCCGGUGAUCUAGCCAUGGGCAGGUUGAAGGUUGGGUAACACUAACUGGAGGACCGAACCGACUAAUGUUGAAAAAUUAGCGGAUGACUUGUGGCUGGGGGUGAAAGGCCAAUCAAACCGGGAGAUAGCUGGUUCUCCCCGAAAGCUAUUUAGGUAGCGCCUCGUGAAUUCAUCUCCGGGGGUAGAGCACUGUUUCGGCAAGGGGGUCAUCCCGACUUACCAACCCGAUGCAAACUGCGAAUACCGGAGAAUGUUAUCACGGGAGACACACGGCGGGUGCUAACGUCCGUCGUGAAGAGGGAAACAACCCAGACCGCCAGCUAAGGUCCCAAAGUCAUGGUUAAGUGGGAAACGAUGUGGGAAGGCCCAGACAGCCAGGAUGUUGGCUUAGAAGCAGCCAUCAUUUAAAGAAAGCGUAAUAGCUCACUGGUCGAGUCGGCCUGCGCGGAAGAUGUAACGGGGCUAAACCAUGCACCGAAGCUGCGGCAGCGACGCUUAUGCGUUGUUGGGUAGGGGAGCGUUCUGUAAGCCUGUGAAGGUGUGCUGUGAGGCAUGCUGGAGGUAUCAGAAGUGCGAAUGCUGACAUAAGUAACGAUAAAGCGGGUGAAAAGCCCGCUCGCCGGAAGACCAAGGGUUCCUGUCCAACGUUAAUCGGGGCAGGGUGAGUCGACCCCUAAGGCGAGGCCGAAAGGCGUAGUCGAUGGGAAACAGGUUAAUAUUCCUGUACUUGGUGUUACUGCGAAGGGGGGACGGAGAAGGCUAUGUUGGCCGGGCGACGGUUGUCCCGGUUUAAGCGUGUAGGCUGGUUUUCCAGGCAAAUCCGGAAAAUCAAGGCUGAGGCGUGAUGACGAGGCACUACGGUGCUGAAGCAACAAAUGCCCUGCUUCCAGGAAAAGCCUCUAAGCAUCAGGUAACAUCAAAUCGUACCCCAAACCGACACAGGUGGUCAGGUAGAGAAUACCAAGGCGCUUGAGAGAACUCGGGUGAAGGAACUAGGCAAAAUGGUGCCGUAACUUCGGGAGAAGGCACGCUGAUAUGUAGGUGAAGCGACUUGCUCGUGGAGCUGAAAUCAGUCGAAGAUACCAGCUGGCUGCAACUGUUUAUUAAAAACACAGCACUGUGCAAACACGAAAGUGGACGUAUACGGUGUGACGCCUGCCCGGUGCCGGAAGGUUAAUUGAUGGGGUCAGCGCAAGCGAAGCUCUUGAUCGAAGCCCCGGUAAACGGCGGCCGUAACUAUAACGGUCCUAAGGUAGCGAAAUUCCUUGUCGGGUAAGUUCCGACCUGCACGAAUGGCGUAAUGAUGGCCAGGCUGUCUCCACCCGAGACUCAGUGAAAUUGAACUCGCUGUGAAGAUGCAGUGUACCCGCGGCAAGACGGAAAGACCCCGUGAACCUUUACUAUAGCUUGACACUGAACAUUGAGCCUUGAUGUGUAGGAUAGGUGGGAGGCUUAGAAGUGUGGACGCCAGUCUGCAUGGAGCCGACCUUGAAAUACCACCCUUUAAUGUUUGAUGUUCUAACGUUGACCCGUAAUCCGGGUUGCGGACAGUGUCUGGUGGGUAGUUUGACUGGGGCGGUCUCCUCCUAAAGAGUAACGGAGGAGCACGAAGGUUGGCUAAUCCUGGUCGGACAUCAGGAGGUUAGUGCAAUGGCAUAAGCCAGCUUGACUGCGAGCGUGACGGCGCGAGCAGGUGCGAAAGCAGGUCAUAGUGAUCCGGUGGUUCUGAAUGGAAGGGCCAUCGCUCAACGGAUAAAAGGUACUCCGGGGAUAACAGGCUGAUACCGCCCAAGAGUUCAUAUCGACGGCGGUGUUUGGCACCUCGAUGUCGGCUCAUCACAUCCUGGGGCUGAAGUAGGUCCCAAGGGUAUGGCUGUUCGCCAUUUAAAGUGGUACGCGAGCUGGGUUUAGAACGUCGUGAGACAGUUCGGUCCCUAUCUGCCGUGGGCGCUGGAGAACUGAGGGGGGCUGCUCCUAGUACGAGAGGACCGGAGUGGACGCAUCACUGGUGUUCGGGUUGUCAUGCCAAUGGCACUGCCCGGUAGCUAAAUGCGGAAGAGAUAAGUGCUGAAAGCAUCUAAGCACGAAACUUGCCCCGAGAUGAGUUCUCCCUGACUCCUUGAGAGUCCUGAAGGAACGUUGAAGACGACGACGUUGAUAGGCCGGGUGUGUAAGCGCAGCGAUGCGUUGAGCUAACCGGUACUAAUGAACCGUGAGGCUUAACCUU
rnacentral:rRNA from 1 species